GCCUGCGCAGGAGCUGGUGAGGCGUGUGAUUUGGGUGCUGACAUGGGCGGCGCGCUGUGGUUUAUUCCACAGAUGUAUACGACAAAGAAUAAAGCUGUGGAAAAUUUGAACAAGACCACUAACCAGCUUGAACUCAUGGACAGAAACGGAACCGAACAAUGUGAGCAUACAGGUUUUUGCCAGGCGCACAAGAACUAUGUACAGACGUCUGAGGGGUGGCUGUUCAGAAUGGUACCCAUUGGCCACAUGUGGCUAAUGAGUAUUUGAACUGUGAAUAGUCUGAAUCGAGCUGUGCUGAAAAUGUAAAUACUUACCAGAUGAGAAGACUUUAUGUGAAAAAAAAAAAAGUGGAAUAUCUCACUAAAAUAUUUUAUCUUGGUU